rnacentral:lncRNA from 1 species
AGUGGGAUUUGAUAACAAACUAGAUAUGGUUUCUAUGAGCAUUAGUUUUGGAGGAUUUAGAUUCAUUAUGAUUUUGUAAGGGCUUUAUAAAGUCAAGUUUUUUUUAUAUAACUUGGAUUUUUGUGACUAAAAUAGGGUUAAUAUUUCGGACAAUUUUUAGAGUUUUGUAACAAAUCUACAAGUGAAAUUUUGUGAAUUAAUGGUUACAGUUGUAUUUAAUAUUUAUUAUGAAUUUUAGCUUGACUAAUGGUUGAAGUGAGGAUUAUUGAGGUUUAAGUCGAUUAAGAUCUCAAAAAAAGAAAUUUAGGUCUAAUGAGAGUUUUUAAGAUUUCUUGCAAUUUACUAGUUAGAUAGGAGUAAAAUUUAUUAGUAAAGAUAGUAGAUUUGUUUUCCUAUGUAUAUGAAAAUUUCGAAAUAAAUCAAAUUGUGAAAAA